rnacentral:rRNA from 1 species
AACGACUGCUAAUACCGGAUUAUGCCGUAAGGUGAAAAGAUUUAUUGCGCUGGAGAUGAGCUCGCGUCUGAUUAGCUAGUUGGUGGGGUAAAAGCCUACCAAGGCAGCGAUCAGUAGCUGGUCUGAGAGGAUGAUCAGCCACACUGGGACUGAGACACGGCCCAGACUCCUACGGGAGGCAGCAGUGGGGAAUUUUCCGCAAUGGGCGAAAGCCUGACGGAGCAAUACCGCGUGAGGGAGGAAGGCUUUUGGGUUGUAAACCUCUUUUCUUAAGGAAGAAUACAAUGACGGUACUUAAGGAAUAAGCAUCGGCUAACUCCGUGCCAGCAGCCGCGGUAAUACGGAGGAUGCAAGCGUUAUCCGGAAUGAUUGGGCGUAAAGCGUCCGCAGGUGGUUUUGUAAGUCUGCUGUUAAAGCGUGAGGCUCAACCUCAUAAUGGCGGUGGAAACUACAAGACUAGAGUACGUUCGGGGCAGAGGGAAUUCCUGGUGUAGCGGUGAAAUGCGUAGAUAUCAGGAAGAACACCGGUGGCGAAAGCGCUCUGCUAGGCCGUAACUGACACUGAGGGACGAAAGCUAGGGGAGCG